rnacentral:rRNA from 1 species
UAGAGUUUGAUCCUGGCUCAGGACGAACGCUGGCGGCGUGCCUAAUACAUGCAAGUCGAACGAAUCUUUUUUUCACCGAAUGCUUGCAUUCACCGAAAGAAGCUUAGUGGCGAACGGGUGAGUAACACGUAGGCAACCUGCCCAAAAGAGGGGGAUAACACUUGGAAACAGGUGCUAAUACCGCAUAACCAUGGACAUCGCAUGAUGUUCAUGUAAAAGACGGCUUUUGCUGUCACUUUUGGAUGGGCCUGCGGCGUAUUAACUUGUUGGUGGGGUAACGGCCUACCAAGGUGAUGAUACGUAGCCGAACUGAGAGGUUGAUCGGCCACAUUGGAACUGAGAGACGGUCCAAACUCCUACGGGAGGCAGCAGUGGGGAAUAUUGGGCAAUGGGGGGAACCCUGACCCAGCAACGCCGCGUGAAGGAAGAAGGUUUUCGGAUUGUAAACUUCUGUCCUUGGUGAAGAGAAGAAGACGGUAGCCGAGGAGGAAGCCCCGGCUAACUACGUGCCAGCAGCCGCGGUAAUACGUAGGGGGCGAGCGUUGUCCGGAAUGAUUGGGCGUAAAGGGCGCGUAGGCGGCCUGUAUAAUUUUGGAAUGAAAGUCCUCUUUUCAAGGGAGGAAUUGCUUUAAAAACUGCUGGGCUUGAGUGCAAAAAAGUUAAUCGAAAUUCCCCGGGGGAGCGGAAAAAUGCAUAAAAAUCGGGGAGGAAACCCCCGGGGGCGAAGGGGGGAAACUGGACUGCCAACUGGCGCUGAGGCGCGAAGGGGGGGGGAAAAAAAAAGA